GCAUGAAGUCGGAAUUGCUAGUAAUCGCGGAUCAGCAUGCCGCGGUGAAUACGUUCCCGGGCCUUGUACACACCGCCCGUCACACCAUGGGAGUCGGUAACACCCGAAGCCGAUAGUCUAACGAAAGAGGACGUCGUCGAAGGUGGGAUUGAUGACUGGGGUGAAGUCGUAACAAGGUAAC
rnacentral:rRNA from 1 species